rnacentral:rRNA from 1 species
UACGUAGGGUGCAAGCGUUAAUCGGAAUUACUGGGCGUAAAGCGUGCGCAGGCGGUUUUGUAAGUCUGUCGUGAAAGCCCCGGGCUCAACCUGGGAAUUGCGAUGGAGACUGCAAGGCUUGAAUCUGGCAGAGGGGGGUAGAAUUCCACGUGUAGCAGUGAAAUGCGUAGAGGAUGUGGAGGAACACCGAUGGCGAAGGCAGCCCCUGGGUCAAGAUUGACGCUCGAUGCCACGAA